rnacentral:rRNA from 1 species
GCAGUCGAGCGGUAACAUUUCUAGCUUGCUAGAAGAUGACGAGCGGCGGACGGGUGAGUAAUGCUUGGGAAUAUGCCUUAGGGUGGGGGACAACAGUUGGAAACGACUGCUAAUACCGCAUAACGUCUACGGACCAAAGGGGGCUUCGGCUCUCGCCCUUAGAUUAGCCCAAGUGGGAUUAGCUAGUUGGUGAGGUAAUGGCUCACCAAGGCGACGAUCCCUAGCUGGUUUGAGAGGAUGAUCAGCCACACUGGAACUGAGACACGGUCCAGACUCCUACGGGAGGCAGCAGUGGGGAAUAUUGCACAAUGGGCGCAAGCCUGAUGCAGCCAUGCCGCGUGUGUGAAGAAGGCCUUAGGGUUGUAAAGCACUUUCAGUAAGGAGGAAAGGUUAGUAGUUAAUACCUGCUAGCUGUGACGUUACUUACAGAAGAAGCACCGGCUAACUCCGUGCCAGCAGCCGCGGUAAUACGGAGGGUGCGAGCGUUAAUCGGAAUUACUGGGCGUAAAGCGUACGCAGGCGGUUUGUUAAGCGAGAUGUGAAAGCCCCGGGCUCAACCUGGGAACUGCAUUUCGAACUGGCAAACUAGAGUAUGAUAGAGGGUGGUAGAAUUUCAGGUGUAGCGGUGAAAUGCGUAGAGAUCUGAAGGAAUACCGAUGGCGAAGGCAGCCACCUGGGUCAAUACUGACGCUCAUGUACGAAAGCGUGGGGAGCAAACGGGAUUAGAUACCCUGGUA